UACGUAGGGUGCGAGCGUUGUCCGGAAUUACUGGGCGUAAAGAGCUCGUAGGUGGUUUGUCGCGUCGUCUGUGAAAUUCCGGGGCUUAACUUCGGGCGUGCAGGCGAUACGGGCAAUACUUGAGUGCUGUAGGGGAGACUGGAAUUCCUGGUGUAGCGGUGGAAUGCGCAGAUAUCAGGAGGAACACCGAUGGCGAAGGCAGGUCUCUGGGCCACUACUGACGCUGAGAAGCGAAAGCGUGGGUAGCAAACAGGAUUAGAUA
rnacentral:rRNA from 1 species